AAAUUUCCCAUAGGAAUGGACUGAAAACCAAUUAAUCCGUUCUGGCUGUUUUUUUGUUAUGUAGAGGUGCGUUCGUGCAUUAACCAAAGCUGGUUAAUAUGUACUCUACCACUAUGGGGAGAAUUUUUUUUAACCUCAGAUGACCUCCAGGAGCAGAGAAGGGAAAGAAUAAAUCAGUAACACAGGAGGAAUCACACUGCAGAGAACAGCAAGGGGGAAGAAGCCUAGCCACUCUUAACUUUAUAUUUUAACAUCUAUGCCAGAUGACUUAAUGCCACGUGAGGUCAGCUUUGUCUACUGCUAAUGGAGAAUGGGGUGCAGAAAAAUAUUAUGCACAUUAUCUCCUAUUAAUCCCUUCCAGACGAAGAAGAUUAUGCACAUUAUCUCCUAUUAAUCCCUUACAUCUAUGCCAUACAUCAAUAAAAAUGUUUGAAUAUUUUUAUGCUUUUCCUUAGAGGUGUAGUUUUCCUUUAAUUAUUUAUUUACGUAGUGUUUCCAAUACAAAAUAGUGCUCAAGGUGGCUUAUAGUCUUCAU
rnacentral:lncRNA from 1 species